UCAGUCUACUCAGGGUCAGAGGUCAGAGUCUACUAUUACCCAGGUAGGUGAUGUCAGUCUACUCAGGGUCAGAGGUCAGAGUCUACUCUUACCCAGGUAGGUGAUGUCAGUCUACUCAGGGUCAGAGGUCAGAGUCUACUCUUACCCAGGUAGGUGAUGUCAGUCUACUCAGGGUCAGAGGUCAGAGUCUACUCUUACCCAGGUAGGUGAUGUCAGUCUACUCAGGGUCAGAGGUCAGAGUCUACUCUUACCCAGGUAGGUGAUGUCAG